rnacentral:lncRNA from 1 species
CUCUUCAUGUUCCUUCAGGGCCUCCUCCUUUGCUUACUUCUGGAUGUACUCUUUAAUUUUCUGCUUGUACUCUUCUGGUCGGUGGAGGUACAUGGCUGCAGAGUCACCAUUGAGAGGAUCUAUGGAGUUAGGAUAGGCCAGCAAGUGGGGCAGGAAGGACUCAAAUAUAUUGGUAAGAUCACAGAGACCUGUCCAAGUUUGAUUAAUUACAUCUAGACACA